rnacentral:rRNA from 15 species
UCCUACGGGAGGCAGCAGUAGGGAAUAUUGCACAAUGGAGGAAACUCUGAUGCAGCAACGCCGCGUGAGUGAAGAAGGCCCUUGGGUCGUAAAGCUCUUUAGCCUGGAAAGAAGUGCUAGCCUGUUAAUAAUUGGCUAGUGUGACGGUACCAGGAGAAUAAGGACCGGCUAAUUUCGUGCCAGCAGCCGCGGUAAUACGAAGGGGGCUAGCG